rfam:Pseudomonas putida CSV86 contig00049, whole genome shotgun sequence.
CAUCGGUCCCCCCGCAACGAUUACCCGUAAACCUGGUCAGGCCCGGAAGGGAGCAGCCAUAGCGGGAACAUUGUGUGCCGGGGUGUGGCUGGUGGGG